CAAUAGCGUAUAUUAAAGUUGUUGCAGUUAAAAAGCUCGUAGUUGGAUUUCGGGGCAGCCUGGCUGGUCCGCCGCAAGGCGAGUACUGGUCAGCCGCCCUUCCUCUCGAAAGCCCCGUCUGCUCUUCGUUGCAGUGGUCGGGUAGUUCGGGACGUUUACUUUGAAAAAAUUAGAGUGUUCAAGGCAGGCCUACGCCUGAAUACAUUAGCAUGGAAUAAUGGAAGAGGACCUCGGUCCUAUUUUGUUGGUUUCCAGGGCCGAAGUAAUGAUUAAGAGGGACAGUUGGGGGCAUUCGUAUUUAAUUGUCAGAGGUGAAAUUCUCGGAUUUAUGAAAGACGAACAACUGCGAAAGCAUUUGCCAAGGAUGUUUUCAUUAA
rnacentral:rRNA from 1 species